UGAAGGAAAAAGAUUUACUGUUCUUGAAACUAUAUUGAAAGUGAGGAAAGAUGUGGAGGAUUGGUUUGCUGCUCAGGUUGUAGAAAAAGAAAGGAGGGCUGAAGUGGGUCAAAGUGAUCAGCAGGUUUUUUCCCCUAGGAAUGUGUCUCCUGUUGUUAGAUGGCUGCCUCCUCCUACUGAUUGGGUGAAGUGUAAUGUUGGUCUGUCUUGGUCUAGAAGAAAUAGACUUGCAGGGGUUGCUUGGGUUUUGAGGAAUGACAGAGGCAAUGUCUUGAUGCACAGUAGAAGAGCCUUUUCCAAUAUUUCCUCCUUUUUGGAGGCUCAAUUUCUAAGCAUUGUUUGGGCUGUUGAGAGUAUGGUUAGUCAUCAUGUGAAUAGGGUGGUUUUUGGUGUGGAAGCUGCGGUGCUUGUUGGGGUGAUAAACAGGCCGCAAGCUUGGCCUUCCUUUAGGUUUCAGUCUUCGGAGAUCUUGUUAGCUUUAAAUGGUAUUGCAGUUUGGAAAGUGGUGCUUGAAUCGGUGUCUUCGAAUAGAGGUGCUAAUCUCAUUGCCCAAAGUGUUACUAAGGAGUGUAGGCUUCAAUCGUACGUGGCCGUAAGUUUUCCUGCUUGGCUUCUUGGUGUCUUUAGGGAUGAGAGAGUUCUAACCUCUGUGGACUGAAGACUUUCUGCUUUUUGGCUCCUUGCUUUUUGGGAGGUUUAUUCUUUUGUUGCCCUGUUAAUUUUUGGAUUCUCAGGGUUGACCUUUUAGUGGGUGUUUCUUGUGCCCCUUGGUCUCAUUUUUUGGUAUGACUUUCUGCAAGUCAGUUGUAAUUGUGCUAAUAUCUAAUAUAACAAGUAAUCUACCUUUGCGACAAAAAAAAAGAAUUAUGAAUAACCUAGCUUUUGCUUUUUCUUUUUCUGAAAUCUCUGUUGCUUUCUCUUUAUAAAAUGAAUCUAGGUAGGCCGUUCAGUGUAUUCAUUGAU
rnacentral:sRNA from 1 species